AUACGUAGGUGGCAAGCGUUGUCCGGAUUUACUGGGUGUAAAGGGCGUGUAGGCGGAGAUGCAAGUCAGGAGUGAAAUCUAGGGGCUCAACCCCUAAACUGCUUUUGAAACUGUAUCCCUUGAGUAUCGGAGAGGCAGGCGGAAUUCCUCGUGUAGCGGUGAAAUGGGUAGAGAUUAGGAGGAACACCAGUAGCGAAGGCGGCCUGCAGGACGACAACUGACGCUGAGGCGCGUAAGCGUGGGGAGCAAACAGGAGUAGAUACCCUGGUAGUCCGCGCUGUAAACGAUGAAUACUAGGUGUGGGUGGACUGACCCCCUGCGUGCCUCAGGUAACACAAUAAGUAUUCCACCUGGGGAGUUCGAUCGCAAGAUUGAAACUCAAAGGAAUUGACGGGU
rnacentral:rRNA from 1 species